GGGACUUAUUAAGGACUGGAUUUAGUUUUAAGGGAAGGGGGGCAGGGGAUAUCCAGGUGGGUGAUUAUGGGUGGAGGGGGGGCAGUUGGAGGUGUACAGGGGAUAUCCAGGUGGGUGAUUAUGGGUGGAGGGGUACAGGGGAUAUCCAGGUGGGUGAUUAUGGGUGGAGGGGUACAGGGGAUAUCCAGGUGGGUGAUUAUGGGUGGAGGGGUACAGGGGAUAUCCAGGUGGGUGAUUAUGGGUGGAGGGGUACAGGGGAUAUCCAGGUGGGUGAUUAUGGGUGGAGGGGUACAGGGGAUAUCCAGGUGGGUGAUUAUGGGUGGAGGGGUACAGGGGAUAUCCAGGUGGGUGAUUAUGGGUGGAGGGGUACAGGGGAUAUCCAGGUGGGUGAUUAUGGGUGGAGGGGGGCACUUCUCAGUCUGAAGUGUCUGAGUGUACACUGCUCUGUGCCUUGGUGGGAGGGUGGGGGUCCGGGCCGUCCUGCCUUCCACUGUUAACCUGUAAAAGACACAAUGGGGGAGGGAGUGAGAGAGGAGACCAAGACUUC
ensembl:lncRNA